rnacentral:rRNA from 1 species
UACGUAGGGGGCAAGCGUUGUCCGGAAUCAUUGGGCGUAAAGAGCGUGUAGGCGGCUCGAUAAGUCCGCUCUGAAAGCCCGGGGCUCAACCCCGGGAGGCGGGCGGAUACUGUCGGGCUAGAGUCCGGAAGAGGCGAGUGGAAUUCCUGGUGUAGCGGUGAAAUGCGCAGAUAUCAGGAGGAACACCAAUGGCGAAGGCAGCUCGCUGGGACGGUACUGACGCUGAGACGCGAAAGCGUGGGGAGCAAACAGG